ACAGCCGGCCCUAAUUUUUUGUCCUCUCCAAUUCCAACUCUUUUCUUCUCUCAACUCUCGUUUCUCCUCCUCCACAUUUGGCCAUACUUUUUUUUUUCUAAUUUGUGUUGAUCAAUCUUUGAUCCACACUCUCCACUGGUUUUUCACAUUGCCACUCUUCAAUUUCAAUUCCAUUCUCCACUCUCUAAUGCUUGAUCUGGUAGCCCAUUUUUUCUUUUAAUAUCUGGUGUCAUUUUGCAUAAAAAUUUUGAGUGUGAAUUUUGGGUGACCUUAAGGAGAAAGUUAUUAAUUUUGGCCUCUCCUUACUUAUUUAACUGUUUGGGAUUAUGUGUUUAACAAUCUGAAUAAUUUUCUUUUUUUAUUAAUUGAAUGGUGGUUGCUGGUUAGGGUUGAAGUGGCAUCUAUGGAAUGCAAAAAUAUUUUGAGAAGUGAUUUCCAUGGGCACCUGGGAGCUUAAGAUUUCAAGACGGUAAGUUUUUUCUAUUUUUUGUCAUAUUCAUGCUCUGUUAUUUUAAUAUUUAAUUUGAACCGCUUUGGAUUCUAUAUAUUUAUAUAAUGCUCUAUAUUGUUCUAUUCUAUUUAUAAAAUCUAGUAUUUAAAAAAAAAAGCCUUGUCUUUAGUGUUUUAUUCGUGAUACAAGAUGCUGCCAGAAGCUCAUCGAUGUUCUGUUAAAGGUGGAUGCUUACAUAGUGAUGGAUAAUUUAGGAAUGAUGCCGGUGUCUACUAUAUCUUCUAUAACUUUGCUUAUUGAAUUGGAUGUUAAUGAUAUGGGUGUGCUUUACGAGUAUCCAUGAGAUGAGAAGUAAAACUGUGUGAGAUCAAGAUCGAGCUUAGUGAUUAAAGCCGAGCUCACUCUUCACCGACUCACUAAAGAUCUCAUCUUAGAAGGUCAUUUAUGAAAAAAAUCAAUCUCUUUUUACUUUUUAUUUUUAAUAUUUUUUCUUUUUCAUUUUUAAUUGGAAUUUCAGAUUUUUUUUUUCUGCUUGAUGAAAUGUAUAAAUUGUUGAGGUUAUGGAGCCCCAACAAUUCUUCUGUGCGCUUGUGGGUGUAACAUCCUUCUAUGUAAUUUCAUUGAGGUGGUAGUAAGAUUACCUUAGGCGUAACUGCCCGGCCUGUUGGCACAAUUACAAAUGUGUGCAGUCCCUCAUGUCCAUCCACCGCUUAGUGUGGGGUUCUGCGCUUCCAUUGUAUAAGGAAAUAAAGUUGCACCUUGACUAUCAGCUUAAGCUUUUAGCCCAAUGGUAAGCGCUUGAUCCUAACAUAAAUAAGAUCAUAUGUUUUAACAUAGACAAUUUUGUUUAUUUCCUAUAAGAUGUUAUAAAUAUAAAUUCUAUUUUUUUUAUUUGUAUUAAGUCCAGAUCAACAUUCUAUUAAGGAAAAAAGAAAAGAAAAGAAAAACACAGUAGAUUAGUAGAUGUUAUAAUGUGUAUUGUGAGGAGAGUUUUGAUGUAAUUCCUUAAUUUUGGAACUAUUUAUAACUCUAACAUGUGCAAGAUGGAUCAGCAUUCCAUGUACUGGUCAACACAUAUUUGGCAUGCUAACUGAUCUUUUUGAUAAUUUUUUUGCUUUAUUUCUCUCUUUGUAUGUUCUUUGGUGAUGAAUAUUUUAUAUGAUGCGUAUCAUGCAAAUAUGUUUACUUGAUAAUCUUUUUGAAAUUUGGUGUUGGUAAUCAAAAGUCCAAUAUUUUAUCCAGAAAAAGAAGUUGGAUCACUCAAUUUAUAUUUUUUAAAAUUUUCCUUACUAGAGUAUAUUCAUGCAUAAUUUUAAUUACUCUAUGUAUAAAUGGUAAUUGGUAUUUUAUUGUCAUGGAAUGUGUUCUUUUUCUUUUCAGGGCCAUUUGGCAUCUUGCAACUAAGGCGAUAAAUGAUCUUGUAAGUGGUAGCUAUUACAAUUCAGCUGCGAAGGCUCUCAAUUUUUUAUUUUUUUUAUUCUUUUCUCUUGCAGUAAGUAUUAUUUUCUUUACUGCACCUAACAUGUUGUUUAUGUUUCCUUUUCUUUGGGAUAAAAAGGCACUUAGCUUUCCCAAAUUUUCAUUUUGUUUCCUUUUGUCUUGAGUUUCUGUAGUGUAAUUCGGCAUUUGGAAGGAUUUUGAUAUGCUUGUUAUAGUGUUCUUUACUCACAGUAGUAAAUAAAAAUAUGACAUGAAGCAAUAAUUUGUAGUAUGAAUGGAAAUGGUAUAAAAAUAGAUGUUGAACACUUCUUAUUUUAAUUUGUAUAUCAUUGUGUCUUAUUACACAAGGGAUUGUGGAGUAUGCAGCUCAUGUUUUAUUAUUUUUAACCAAUUCUUUAUGACAAUAUGUUCAGUUCUACUCCAAUGAUAUUAUUAAUGGGAAAUUCUAUUUGUUUUCAUGAAGAUCCAGUUUGCUUGAUUAUUGUUGCCAAUGUACUUGAUCGACAUUUUUG
rnacentral:lncRNA from 1 species